AGAGUUUGAUCAUGGCUCAGGAUGAACGCUAGCGGCAGGCUUAAUACAUGCAAGUCGUGGGGCAGCAGGGGUAGCAAUACCCGCUGGCGACCGGCAAACGGGUGCGGAACACGUACGCAACCUUCCUUUAACUGGAGAAUAGCCCCUCGAAAGAGGGAUUAAUACUCCGUAACAUAUACAUGUGGCAUCACAAGUAUAUUAUAGCUCCGGCGGUUAAAGAUGGGCGUGCGCCUGAUUAGAUAGUUGGCGGGGUAACGGCCCACCAAGUCUGCGAUCAGUAACUGGUGUGAGAGCACGACCAGUCACACGGGCACUGAGACACGGGCCCGACUCCUACGGGAGGCAGCAGUAAGGAAUAUUGGUCAAUGGACGCAAGUCUGAACCAGCCAUGCCGCGUGGAGGAUUAAGGCCCUCUGGGUUGUAAACUCCUUUUAUCUGGGAAGAAAUGCAUUUUUUCUAAAAUGCUUGACGGUACCAGAGGAAUAAGCACCGGCUAACUCCGUGCCAGCAGCCGCGGUAAUACGGAGGGUGCAAGCGUUAUCCGGAUUCACUGGGUUUAAAGGGUGCGUAGGCGGGCAGGUAAGUCCGUGGUGAAAUCUCUGAGCUUAACUCAGAAACUGCCAUGGAUACUAUUUGUCUUGAAUAUUGUGGAGGUAAGCGGAAUAUGUCAUGUAGCGGUGAAAUGCUUAGAUAUGACAUAGAACACCAAUUGCGAAGGCAGCUUACUACACAGUUAUUGACGCUGAGGCACGAAAGCGUGGGGAUCAAACAGGAUUAGAUACCCUAGUAGUCC
rnacentral:rRNA from 1 species